UGGGGAAUAUUGGACAAUGGGCGCAAGCCUGAUCCAGCCAUGCCGCGUGAGCGAUGAAGGCCUUAGGGUUGUAAAGCUCUUUCACCGGUGAAGAUAAUGACGGUAACCGGAGAAGAAGCCCCGGCUAACUCCGUGCCAGCAGCCGCGGUAAUACGAAGGGGGCUAGCGUUGUUCGGAAUUACUGGGCGUAAAGCGCACGUAGGCGGACUUUUAAGUCAGGGGUGAAAUCCCGGGGCUCAACCCCGGAACUGCCUUUGAAACUGGAAGUCUUGAGUAUGGUAGAGGUGAGUGGAAUUCCGAGUGUAGAGGUGAAAUUCGUAGAUAUUCGGAGGAACACCAGUGGCGAAGGCGGCUCACUGGACCAUUACUGACGCUGAGGUGCGAAAGCGUGGGGAGCAAACAGG
rnacentral:rRNA from 1 species